AACGAACACUGGCGGCAGGCCUAACACAUGCAAGUCGAGCGGAUCCUUCGGGAUUAGCGGCGGACGGGUGAGUAACGCGUGGGAAUAUGCCCUUCUCUACGGAAUAGCCUCGGGGAACUGGGAGUAAUACCGUAUACGCCCUACGGGGGAAAGAUUUAUCGGAGAGGGAUUAGCCCGCGUUGGAUUAGGUAGUUGGUGGGGUAAUGGCCUACCAAGCCUACGAUCCAUAGCUGGUUUGAGAGGAUGAUCAGCCACACUGGGACUGAGACACGGCCCAGACUCCUACGGGAGGCAGCAGUGGGGAAUCUUAGACAAUGGGGGAAACCCUGACCUAGCCAUGCCGCGUGAGUGAUGAAGGCCUUAGGGUUGUAAAGCUCUUUCAGCUGGGAAGAUAAUGACGGUACCAGCAGAAGAAGCCCCGGCUAACUCCGUGCCAGCCGCCGCGGUAAAAC
rnacentral:rRNA from 1 species